rnacentral:rRNA from 1 species
UGAUUAGAUACCCCGGUAGUCCCAGCCGUAAACGAUGCUCGCUAGGUGUCAGGCAUGGCGCGACCGUGUCUGGUGCCGCAGGGAAGCCGUGAAGCGAGCCACCUGGGAAGUACGGCCGCAAGGCUGAAACUUAAAGGAAUUGGCGGGGGAGCACAACAACGGGUGGAGCCUGCGGUUUAAUUGGACUCAACGCCGGACAACUCACCGGGGACGACAGCAAAAUGUAGGCCAGGCUGAAGACCUUGCCUGAAUCGCUGAGAGGAGGUGCAUGGCA